ACCAAACUGUGGAUGACGUCAGGUCAUUGGCAACAUUAUUGUGAGAAUUUAUUCAAGGUUGAAAUAGAAAAGGAAGUUUAUGCUCUUAAGUCAAUGAACUGUCCUGGACAUUGUUUGAUGUUCGAUCAUCGCCCUCGCUCCUGGCGUGAGUUACCAUUGCGUAUGGCUGAUUUUGGUGUGUUACAUCGAAGCAAGUUAUUUCAGCCAUUAAAAAAUUAGCUCAUUGAAAUCAACCAAUGAAAUCGAUCGGACCACCAAAUGAUCUUAAUAAACGUCAAUCACUUUACACAACGGUAGAUGCCCUCAAGACUCGAAAGUGAAAGGAAGGAAAAGAAGAUAAUUUUCUCUUGAGAAUUUACUAUGAGCAAUCAUAAAGAAUGCAACCAAAGUCGUAUCCUGGUUGAAAUUUGAAGCAAAGAUAAAACGGAUCGCUAUCAAAACAA